GUCUACCUGACUUGUCAUCUGUGGAUCGUACGUCGAUACUCGUGUGCAUAGCAGUGCUCUUUCAGGUAAGACGAACAUGUUUUAGAACAUCCUGUGUGGAAUCUAAAAUAAACAAAUAAAUAAAGAGCAUUAAUUGUCUAACAGUCCUUAUCACUGUUAUGACUAUAAUAAGGAUUUUUUUCCAAUUCACACACGAAAAUACAUCGAUCCGGGGAUUCUCAAUGUCGAUUGUUUACCAUGGUUUUAAUCAACCUGCCAUCAAACCCACUGCAUAUAUUUGUGUCAGAUUACAGUAUGCUAAUGAACAUUUAUUCUCCACUUGAUUUAAACAAUCAUUCAUUCUUCAUUAAAAUUGCAAUAUGCACAUUUUUUUACAAUCAAUACCAUAUAUAUUAUAGAAGCAAAUAGUACAUGGUACAGAUACAUGAGCUGAAUAAAUCUAGACGUGAUCACCAGGGCAAAGAAUUUGUCAAGAAAAGAAGAGACGCACAAUCUACCAAAAAUUCUAUAACGUCAGAGCAAUAUGCACUACACACAUGGGUAUAAUACAAUGACAACGCAGGAGAGGACAGAGAUUGACGUACCUGUGAUGGUGUCCUCAAUGGAGCAAAGGGAUUCUUGAAUUCUGGGAUGUUGGCUUUCCACGCAUCCACGUACAUCUGCUACGCCUCAUGCAGGCGCCACUGCAUUCCCUUGGAGAGCCCCACCGCGGCCAACCAGAGAGGAGGCACGGCCGGGACAAGGCCCUGCAGCCGGGAGGACGCCGGCCAGCCAGGGGCAGGGGGGUAGCCAGGCGAGAUGGAGCGCAGGGGAGGGCGGGGGAGGGGGAGGGCGACGCGCCGCGCCAGGGCAGCACCGGUGACGACGACGGGGAGGGACUNNN
rnacentral:lncRNA from 1 species